UUAGGAAAAAUAUAUUCAGGGGGAAGAGAUGUAAUAGAUUUCACAUUAUGGCAGUUACUAAAGAAGCACGUGAACAGACACAUCACCUUCACUUUGGGAUAUGGAAUUUGAUAAGCAGUUAGCCACAGAAUAUGAACAACCCCUUGAGAAUGAGAUUGAAGAACUGAUCCAGGGGACAAAAGAGGGGAAACUGAGAGUUCCCAAUUAAUAAUGAAGCAGGUAAGUGUUAAUUCCAGGGGUUAUAAAAUUCAUUGAUUGAGAUUAUUUCUGCCAGAUAUUCACUUUUAGAGUGUAGAUACUUACAUGAAUUUCAAAACACUGUGUAGAUAUCUUCGCGGUGUCCUAAAGACAGUUAGUUGCAGCAGAGUCCAUGCAAUAUAAUAGAAUUUUAUGAAAUUCAAAAACCAAAUUUUGAAUAUACUUUCUUAGCUCUAACGGCGAUAAAACUAUAAAGAAAAUGAUCAACAUAACGCGGUAUUUCAGGAAGUCAGGGUAAUUGAGUAGGGACACUCAGGGGCUUCGACAGUACUAUCAUUCUGUUCCUCAAGUUGGACGGCAGGUUCACAGGUGGUCAUUUCAUCAUGCCUUUAUGUUGUUUUAUGUUGUAUAUAUUAUACUAUAUGUUAUCCAUAUUAUAAUUACACAUAUUCUUUUGUUUGUAACAAUGUUUCAUAAUAUUUCAAGGAAUGAAUGGAAAUGGGCACAUAAUGAAGAUAUGCAGUGCCUAGCCAUCAGUAGAGUCCCAGCAUUAUCAGAUUCUAAGAUAAUUCUUAUACAAAAACAAGCAAACAAAGGGCAUGUUAUCUAGAAUGAAAAGACCAUCCAUAUUCUAAUAAACUGAGACAAUCAAAUAGGGAAUCCCUCUUUUAAGGAUGGUAUUUGUUAUAUGCUUGGAAGUGUUUUGAAGUAGAAAUUGGUUGUAAAUAAAUCUACUCCUUGUUAAUAGGAAAGUAUAAGCUUGCUUUUAAUGUCCCUGUUAUCCCUACCAAGAAAUUAAAAAUCCUGGAGGUUAGUAUUGCUUAUGAACUCACUUACUUGCUUAUUAAUGACAGGUGCAUUUGCCCUCUUAGGGGAUGACCAUGGGUAUUUUAAAAGAUAAGAAAUUUGCUGAGAAUUCCUUAAAUUUUUCUAAUUUUUACUAGCCAGUGAGGACAUUGUCCCUUUUUUGCAGGUAGCUUUGAAAGAUGAUACCUCCACAGUUGAGACCAUGUUGUUAAAACAUCCUUCAUUUAACCAUUUACACAUUUGGUUCUAAAGAAUGUAUUAUCCUUAGAUUCUUGGUUCUAAAGAAUGUAUUAUCUUAAGAUUCUUGUCUUACCACUAUUCUUAAAAUUUCUCUAAAACUUGCUGAGGUAAUCAGCUUUAAAUUCUAUAAAUACAGAUAACAAAACCCUCUUAAUCCUAAAGGUGCUUUUAAAGUUCAUGCAUUUAUACAUGUAUGCAAAUUGCCUAUUAAAUUGGGAAGAUUUCAUUCUAAGUAACCAAAUCUUAAGGAGCUAAAGCUAACCUGCUUUAUAAAAUAUAUUAAUUCCAGGACUAAGCAAUUUCUGAAAACAGACUUAUUUACUGUGCUGCUUAAUAUUUCCUCAAACUAGAAUACAAGUGACGGUGGCAGAGGGAGGAAGUAACUCAUACUAGGAAGAACAAAUAGCUGCUGGAAUAUGCUUGUGGUUUAGAGCUUCUUUUAAAAAUCCUGUCAGCUGCAAAGGAAAGGAAGGACUAAUAUUUUCCACGAGAUCAGUAACAUCUUUAUGAAGAUGCUCCUUUUGAAUGUGGUACAGAAAGUUGGAAAACACUUAGGCAUGGUAUCUGGCAUAGUGCCCCUUAGGGAGCACUUCACAUGCAGACGGUCUGGGGCUUAGGAUGGUUUGACUUAGAAUUUUUUGACUUUAUGAUAGUUGCAAAGGCGAUGCACAUUCAGUAGAAAGUGAACUUUGAGUCCCCAUAAAGCUAUCCUGUUUUUCAUGUUUAGGACAUUGUUCCCAUAAAUUCAUGAGCUAUUCAACCCUUUAUAAUAAAAAAGAAUUUGUGUUAGAUGAUUUUGCCCAAAUGUAGGUUAAUGUAAGUGUUCUGAGUACGUUUAAGGUAGGCUAGUCUAAGCUCUGAUGCUCAGUAGGUUAGGUGUAUUAAAGACGUUUUUACUUACGAUAUCUUCCCCUCCCAAUAAACCCAUUGUAAGUCAAGAAGCACCUGUAGAGGUCUGCCUUUACCAAUUUCAGCUGCGACAAAUUUAAUGUUCCUGUAUUGCUUUUAAAUUGGAGAGCAGAAGCAGGUCUGAAACAAAUACUGCAGUUAGCUUUGUGUUCUUCGCUAUUUAUUGAACAGUUCAGAGGGCAAGGAAGCAAAGAGAAGUGCUCUGAGUGUGUCUUUGCUUGCCAGCUCCUGAAUUUUUAACAGUUCUACAGUGGCCUUCCUGUAUUUUUCUCUCGUUUUGUGUGUUCUCUUCUGUUUUUGUUGACCCUGUCUC
rnacentral:lncRNA from 1 species